CAGCUGGUGCUGUGCUGCUUUCACACACUCACCCCAGAUUCUCAAGGCUUACCAGAAGAGGUGAUGCUGGGAAGGCUCAGAGGGCAGAAAGAACACAAAAACAACAACAAGACAAAAACCCUGAGAUCAGAGGCAUACUCUGAGCUCCAGCUGAAGACCUCAGUGAGUGGCCAUGCCUGGAGGCUGUGCAGCUCCUCUUGAGCCACCGCUGUCUUUCCUACCUAGAAGGAGCGCUCUCAUUCGCAGCUAGAAGCCUUCCCCACCCCUCCGACAGGCCUGUGGCUGUUCAAACACUGUCAGGAGCUUUCCUAUCGCCGAGAGUCUUAAACAAACUCUGCUGGUUUUUCUCCCGCGUUGCAUACCAGGGUUUUGCCGUGCUCCAGACUCCUAAGUUCCCAAGGGGUGGAAGGACCAGGGGUGAUGGGUUACCAAACACACACAGGGUAUAAACUACAGCACAGCAAGUUCCACCACAACGUGAGGAAGAACUGCUUUCCUGUAAGGGUGACAGAGCAUUGGAACAGGCUCUCCAGAGAGGUUGUGGAGUCUCCCUCUCUGGAGACUUUGGAGCCCUGUCUGGAUGCGUUCCUGUGCGACCUGUGCUAGAUUGUAUGGUCCUGCUCUGGCAGGAGGUUGCACUGGAAAAUCCAUGGAGAUCACUUCCAACCCCUAACAUCCUGUGAUUCUGUGAUCCCACAGCAAGAUCUACAGCUGCUCUUCACAAACUACCCACUAGAAUCACUGUCCAGAUCUGCCUGAAAGUUGAGCUCUUGCCAACACCUUCUGUGGAGUCCCUCUUUUUAACACCGUGGUUCAAAGCAGGGCUUCCUUCUCCACAGCACAUGUUGAGGGGUGCCAGCAGAGCACAUGAGAGGAGGAAUAACAUGAAGUACAACUCAACUUUUGUCAAGCCUUUGACACAAUCUCCCUCAACAUCCUUCUCUCUAAACUGGAGGCGUGGGAAUUUGAUGGGUGGACUGUUCUGUGGAUAAGGAAUUGGUUGGGUGAUGGCAUGCCAAGGGCAAUGGCUCAACAUCCAUAUGGAGAUUGGUGACAAGUGGUGUCCCUCAAGGGUCUGUACUGGGACCAGGUCUGUUCAAUA